rnacentral:misc_RNA from 1 species
CGCGUGAGUGGUGGUUGGUGUGUGUGGGCAUGUCGGAUCCCUGCUCCGGGCAGCGACGGCAUCUCCAAUACGCCUCUUCAUUCGUGGGAACGAGCUUGUGCUCGUCCGCGGUCGGCUUUCCUGUGUUGCAUACCUAUUGCGAGGGCAUUCGGUUGGCUAAAAUUGUCCCAUCUCCGCCUCGCGUCGGCGCUCCGUGCGGGCGUACGUUGCGGGGUGGAUCUCGCNGCAUCCGUUNUGUUUCGCGCCGCAUUCACCUAACUUGGUGUUUGGGUAGGCGACCCAUGACGUGAUGCGCGUUGUCUCGGGUACGGAACAUCGGGUGGGUUCGAGGCACUGUCCUUCGAUCGCCACACAAAUGCGUUCUACGCUUUAUGCGAACGACGGCCGCACACGGGCUUCGGCGGAGCACUCGCUGCUCGGUCGGAGCCGUGUCGGCGUCGGUGAGGGAUGC